UCGCAUGUUCAGAGAAGGUUGCGGAGAUGAGGAUGCUUAGGUGGAUGUGCGGACACACCAGGUUAGAUAAGAUUAAGAAUGAAGUUAUUCGAGAGAAGGUGGGGGUGGCCCCGGUGGAUGAGAAGAUGGGAGAAGCGAGGCUGAGGUGGUUCGGGCAUGUGCGGAGAAGAAGAUCCGAUGCCCCGGUGAGGAGCUGCGAGCAGCUGGAGAUUGAUGGCGGUCAGCGAGGCAGAGGGAGGCCUAAGAAGUAUUGGGGAGAGGUGAUUAGGCAGGACAUN
rnacentral:lncRNA from 1 species